rnacentral:rRNA from 1 species
UACGGAGGGGGCUAGCGUUGUUCGGAAUUACUGGGCGUAAAGCGCGCGUAGGCGGAUCUGCAAGUCGGGGGGUGAAAUCCCGAGGCUCAACCUCGGAACUGCCUUCGAUACUGCGGGUCUCGAGUCCGGGAGAGGUGAGUGGAAUUCCUAGUGUAGAGGUGAAAUUCGUAGAUAUUAGGAAGAACACCAGUGGCGAAGGCGGCUCACUGGCCCGGUACUGACGCUGAGGCGCGAAAGCGUGGGGAGCAAACAGGG